rnacentral:rRNA from 1 species
GAUGAACGCUGGCGGCGUGCCUAAUACAUGCAAGUAGAACGCUGAAGGAGGAGCUUGCUUUUCUGGAUGAGUUGCGAACGGGUGAGUAACGCGUAGGUAACCUGCCUGGUAGCGGCGGAUAACUAUUGGAAACGAUAGCUAAUACCGCAUGACAACAGUUAUUCCAUGAUAACCGUUUAAAAGGGGCAACUUCUCCCCUACCAGAUGGACCUGCGUUGUAUUAGCUAGUUGGUGGGGUAACGGCUCACCACGGCGACGAUACAUAGCGGCCCUGAGAGGGGGUCCGCCAAACCUGGAAUGAGACAAGGGCCAAGACUCUAAGGGAAGGAGCAAGAGGGGAACUUUGGCAAAGGACGGAAGUCUGACCGAGGAACGCCGGGGGAGGGAAGGAGGGUUUCGGAUCGUAAAAAUCUGUUGAAAGGGAAGAAAGAGAGGGAGAGUGGAAAGUUCACACUGUGACGGUAUCUAACCAGAAAGGGACGGCUAACUACGUG